UGAAUCUGGCUAUAUUUUUUACUCAAAAAACAAGCAUAUUUUCAAAUGGCAUUCUGCACAGUCAGUCAUCUAUCUGUGCUUGAUGCCACUAUUCUUCACAAAAUGUGAUAAUAAUAAUGUUAUCUGUUAACAUAAAAACAAAGUUUGACUCCACUGAAACAGCUUGAAAUGGAUAACCACAAUAUGCUUCAGUCUCUUAGGAACACACUGUUUGACAUAUACUGUUAAAAGUUCCUCAUAUUUAGGAAUUCUUUUAAGCAAAAUACUUGUGCUGAGUCUCUGCUGGUGUGCCUGGAGGAAAAUUCAUUUCCCAGUGGUAACAUGG
rfam:Patagioenas fasciata monilis isolate BTP2013 Sc31e1R_61, whole genome shotgun sequence.